rnacentral:misc_RNA from 1 species
AACGGUCUAUACCUGCGGUACCUGCGGAGGGAUCAUUAAUGAGAAACUGCCCCUCGCGGGUAGAUCUCCCACCCUUUGUAAACUUACCUUUGUUGCUUUGGCAGGCCCGUCUCCGGACCGCCGGCUUCGGCUGGCCAGUGCCUGCCAGAGGAUUCUAAAACUCUGUCUGCCAGUGUUGUCUGAGUCUAUAUACAAUCGUUAAAACUUUUAACAACGGAUCUCUAGAUCGGAAGAGCACAC